rnacentral:rRNA from 1 species
GUGGGGAAUAUUGGUCAAUGGACGAAAGUCUGAACCAGCCAUGCCGCGUGAAGGAUGAAGGCCCUCUGGGUUGUAAACUUCUUUUAUCUGGGACGAAAAAAGGGUAUUCUUACUCACUUGACGGUACCAGAGGAAUAAGCACCGGCUAACUCCGUGCCAGCAGCCGCGGUAAUACGGAGGGUGCAAGCGUUAUCCGGAUUCACUGGGUUUAAAGGGUGCGUAGGUGGGUAUUUAAGUCAGUGGUGAAAUCUCCGAGCUUAACUCGGAAACUGCCAUUGAUACUAUUUACCUUGAAUGCCCUGGAGGUAAGCGGAAUAUGUCAUGUAGCGGUGAAAUGCUUAGAUAUGACAUAGAACACCAAUUGCGAAGGCAGCUUACUACGGGGUGAUUGACACUGAGGCACGAAAGCGUGGGGAGCAAACAGGAUUAGAAACCCCGGUAGUCC